UCCUUUUGUCAUGCUUACGUAUAAAUAGUUUCAAAUGAAAUAGAAAAACUACGACCUUACUCACUUACGUUUAAAGCAACACAAAUUUGAUCAUGAUUUAAAACGUUGUUUUCAAAUAUAAUAAAAUAAAUAAAAAUAUUUAUAAGAUAUAAUAAAAAUUAAUUAAAACGUUCAAAAUUUAUAAAUAAUAGACGCUAAUAGAAU
rnacentral:lncRNA from 1 species